CUUAGUGGCGGACGGGCGAGUAACGCGUGAGCAACCUGCCCUUCAGAGGGGAACAACAGUUGGAAACGACUGCUAAUACCGCAUAACGUGCUUUAGGGGCAUCCCUGGAGUACCAAAGAUUUUAUCGCUGAAGGAUGGGCUUGCGUCCGAUUAGAUAGUUGGUGGGGUAACGGCCUACCAAGUCGACGAUCGGUAGCCGAACUGAGAGGUUGAUCGGCCGCAUUGGGACUGAGACACGGCCCAGACUCCUACGGGAGGCAGCAGUGGGGGAUAUUGCACAAUGGAGGAAACUCUGAUGCAGCAACGCCGCGUGAGGGAAGACGGUCUUCGGAUUGUAAACCUAAGUUAUCAGGGACGAUUAUGACGGUACCUGAAGAGAAAGCUCCGGCUAACUACGUGCCAGCAGCCGCGGUAAUACGUAGGGAGCGAGCGUUGUCCGGAUUUACUGGGUGUAAAGGGUGCGUAGGCGGGCUGGCAAGUCAGGCGUGAAAUCCCGGGGCUUAACUCCGGGGCUGCGCUUGAAACUGUCGGUCUUGAGUGAGGUAGAGGCAAGCGGAAUUCCUAGUGUAGCGGUGAAAUGCGUAGAUAUUAGGAGGAACACCAGUGGCGAAGGCGGCUUUGCUGGGCCUUAACUGACGCUGGAGGCACGAAAAGCGUGGGGAGCAAACAGGAUUAGAUACCCUGGUAGUCCACGCUGUAAACGAUGAUUGCUAGGUGUGGGGGGUCGACUCCCUCCGUGCCGGAGUAAACGCAAUAAGCAAUCCACCUGGGGAGUACGACCGCAAGGUUGAAACUCAAAGGAAUUGACGGGGGCCCGCACAAGCAGUGGAGUAUGUGGUUUAAUUCGAAGCAACACGAAGAACCUUACCAGGUCUUGACAUCCAACUAACGAGGUAGAGAUACGUUAGGUGCCCUUCGGGGAAAGUUGAGACAGGUGGUGCAUGGUUGUCGUCAGCUCGUGUCGUGAGAUGUUGGGUUAAGUCCCGCAACGAGCGCAACCCUUGUCAUUAGUUGCUACGCAAGAGCACUCUAAUGAGACUGCCGUUGACAAAACGGAGGAAGGUGGGGACGACGUCAAAUCAUCAUGCCCCUUAUGACCUGGGCUACACACGUACUACAAUGGUCGUUAACAGAGGGAAGCAAUCCCGCGAGGAGGAGCAAACCCCUAAAAACGAUCCCAGUUCAGAUUGUAGGCUGCAACUCGCCUAUAUGAAGUUGGAAUAAAUAGUAAUCGCGGAUCAGCAUGCCGCGGUGAAUA
rnacentral:rRNA from 1 species